AACUGAUCAUACUUACCUAUUGCUGGGGCGUCUUUGCUGCUUAUUCACAGUGCCUACGUGAGGACUUCUAAAAUCACCCAAACUUUCUUGGAUCAUCUAAAAAUGAAAAUCAUCAAAAAUCCUGAUGGUGAGGCUAUCGCCAAACAACUCAGUGACAUUACUGCAGGUCUUCUGUCAGAGACACGGGCUUGACAUUCCCUGGAGACACACCAUACAUUCCCUUCUUGUGAAAUCUGAGCUGUGGUUUUGAGAAUACCUCUUCCCAAGUUGGGUGAAGAGUGAAAAAGAAGAACUCUGCACCUCUGAUGUUCAUCCCAUGAAGAUGUCUCUCUCCCUUCCCUCCUUACAACUCCUCUCUCUCAAUGUGGCAAGCACACGCCAUCCUGGCAAUAUACUUAUGCACAACUGACUGUAAAAUGAGGUAAUGUGUAAUACUAUGCUAGAAGUUGACAUUACAGCAGGGAAGGGCCCAGAGUCCACUGAGGAGAGGUCAUAUUAUGUCAAUAA